rnacentral:rRNA from 1 species
GUACGAGAGGACCGGAGUGGACGAACCUCUGGUGUUCCGGUUGUCAUGCCAAUGGCAUUGCCGGGUAGCUAUGUUCGGACAGGAUAACCGCUGAAAGCAUCUAAGCGGGAAGCCCCUCCCAAGAUGAGAUCUCACUGGGACUAUAAGUCCCCUGAAGGGCUGUUGAAGACUACAACGUUGAUAGGCAUGGUGUGGAAGCGCAGUAAUGUGUGAAGCUAACAUGUACUAAUUGCCCGUGAGGCUUGACCAU